rnacentral:rRNA from 1 species
CCGUGAGGGAAAGAUGAAAAGAACUUUGAARAGAGAGUUAAAAAGUACGCGAAACCGUUGGAAGGGAAACGAAUGGACUCAGCAAUGCGCCGUUUGAGAUUCAGCCGGCCGGAGGGAUCGGUUCGGGGCGUGCGGAUCCGAACGGACCGCCGUCCCYCUCUCGUUUUCUCUCGGCCGUCGCACUUCUCUCGGGCGCGCGUCAACGUCGGUUGGGACUGGGUCUCAAAGGUUCCGGGAAGGUAGGUCCGCGCGUUCCUCGCGUUCGUCGCGUUCCGUUACGCAGCCCGGUUCUCUCUCGGCUCGGGCCCGACCGAGGCGGUUCGCAGCGCACGCCUCUUUUGGCUAGGGUCCCGUCCGUCCGGCCGGUCGUCGACCGCGGUGGACUGCUUGCAGUGCUCCGCGACAGCUGCCGGUCGUUGGGGCGGUGAUCUCGUACCGUGCGCUUAGGAUGUUGGCGGUCAUAUGGGUCCAUCCGACCCGUCUUGAAACACGGACCAAGGAGUCUAACAUGUGCGCGAGUCUUAGGGUGCCCUAAACCCAGAGGCGGAAUGAAAGUGAAGGCGGCUCCGKCCGUCGAGGCGAGAUCCUCUAAKUYGARUUAGAGGCGCAUCGUUGACCGACCUAUUCUACUCUUAGGAAGGUUUGAGUAAGAGCGUGUCUGUUGGGACCCGAAAGAUGGUGAACUAUG